rnacentral:lncRNA from 1 species
GGCCCCUCCUCCCUAGACCAUUUAUAAAAACCCUGACAUUUUUACUACUGCUUAGCAACCUGCUCGGGACCCCUCUCUGUGACUGUGAGCUGUUCUGUUCUUUUGCCUAUUAAACUCCUGCUCCAAACUCACUCGAUGUGUGUGUGCAUGUCCUUGACCUCAAUAUCUGGUCGUGUGACCAAGAACCUCAGUAUUCACCCCAGACAACAAGGCUGCUUCAUUUUGAGGGCUCGUCUGGGAUUUGAAGGUGACUUCAUCAGAAUGCUUUGCUGCUAAAGGGAUCUGCAGUCCAGCUGAAAACCUGCCCUUGCCUGAGCCCAGCCACUUUCUCCCAGAGAAAACUGGAGAACCUAAACAUGAUUGUGAACAGGCGCAGUAAGAUUGAGGAGCUAAAAACAGACUUGGGUGGAUGUCUGCAGCUGCAAGAAGAUGUGUGGGAACAGACACAGAAACUCUCCCUCCCAGAUAAGCAAGACAAAGAAACACAGAAUAAGAGUCCAUCUAUGUGGUCAGAGAAUGGGAUAAGAGCUGAUUUAAAAAAACUCUGCUCUAUAUAGAAGGCACACCUGGUCCCAACCAAACCACUGGACCCUAGGAGGAUAAGACCUCCUCUGCUCAUGAGCCCCCUCCUCAGUAGCCCAUUUAUAAAAACCCUGACAAUUUUACUACCACUUGGCAACCCGCUCGGGACCCCUCUCUGUGAUGGAGAGCUGUUCUUUUCUUUUGCCUAUUAAACUCCUGCUCCAAACUCACUGUGUGUGUGUCUGUCUGCAACCUCAAUCUCCUUGGCCAUGACACCAAAAACCUUAGUAUUUACCCCAGACAACAAGGCUGCUUCACCAGCCUUCUCACAUUAAAUUCCACACAUUGCAUGUCGGUGCUGUCACAGCUGUGUCUAUCACCACAGCAACAAGCAGACGGACUC